UGCUCACAGCUCUGCCUCUCCGCAGGGUCCAUCCGAAGGCAGCCCUUAGAAAAGGUGGAGAAUGACACUGAGCACUCCUUACACAGCUCUGCACAAUUCCUGCUGCUCCCCACUGCCAGCGAGUGUUCCCACAGAUACUGAAAUCCUGCCUGGAAAAGUUUCUGAACAGCCUGUUCAAGCCUGAUCCAUCUUGACUGGAAGGGCUGGAUAAGAUCUCCAGAGGUCCCUUCCAACAUCAGCAAUUCUGUGAUUCUUUGGAGAUCCCUGAAGAUCUGGGAUGCAGCACCUGAAUCAACCAAAGUGUGAGGACAAGAUGUGAACUGCUCUAGAUCCUGCCGAGGCUGAGCCGAGUGUUUUCCUACUCUAAGCAGCCCUUUGAAACCCACCAGCCCCAGCUCUGUUCCCAGAGCAGCCAAGUUUGUUUUUAACUGCCUGCUGCCAAGAGAACUCCCAGCUCACCAGGACAAUCCAAAACCAGGAGAAGGCUUUUCCAGAAGUGCACUGGGCACUCUGCAAGCCAAGAGCAUCUCUGUCCCUGCCACUUGGUGCCCACAGACAGAGCUGUGCUGGGCUGGAAGCCAGGCCCAGCUGGGAACCAGAAAAGCUGGUUUAAAUAAAACAAAAGGUUUCUGUUUCUGCA